AUGACCUACUUACCCCAGAAGAACGGAGGCUUUUCUCCUGUAGUAGAGGCCAUCCUAUGCCGGGGAACGGGGGAGCACUCUCGGGGGAGGGGAGAUAGGAGAGAGGAUCCCAAGUAUGCUCCGCCCUCUGAGCACAAGACUGACUUGGGCUGAUCCCAUGAACCCUGAGAUCUCAACCUGAGAGGAAUCCAGAGUCAGACGCCUGACCAAGCGAGCCACCCAGGCGCCCCAACUAUCACCCAUUAAGAAAAUCAUUUUCUUUAACAUUUGAAAUUUUACACCCUCCUCUUCUGUGCCUGAACUUGUAUUUUCAUUCCCCAGCCCACAAAAUAAACGCGAUUGUAACAUGGCUA